rnacentral:lncRNA from 1 species
GCCCGUAACACCGCCCGCUCGCCCCGCCCUCCUCCUGAAGGCUCCGUACCUGUCCCCUUCUUCAGAUGCUCUGGGUACACCCUCAGCCCCGCCCCCAGCCCUGGUCCUGCAGAGUAGGCACGCCCCUCUAACCUAGCCCAGUCCGUGUCCUUAGUAGCUAUGGACACACCCUCGGCCCCGCCUCUACUUCGUCCUCAAGGCUGCAUACACGCUAGUCCAUCCGGCCCCUCCCCGCCCACCCCCCGGCACAGUGGACACGCCCCUGUCCGGAUCCCGCGCAGGCGCAGUAUUCUCUUCUGAGGGCUAGCCUGUUUCCUAGCAACUUGAGAGACUAAUCUCUGGCCUUGAUUGAGCCUCAGUCCUGUGUGCAGAGACGUUCGCCUCUACCUCUGGCAAGGCCAGCUCUCUGAGAACUGAGCGCCCUUAGAGUCUGCACCGGUGCUGCAUCUGUGGACUGAGAUGCCAAGACGUCUCCGCCCGGACUGGCAGAAAGUGGGCGUCGCAGAGUGUGUGCGGCUCGAGAACUGCGCCUGAGAUUAGCCCAGAGAAACAAUCCCCGCAGCUCUCGGGAGUCCGGAGCAACCGCGAGCUCCGCCUCCUCCUCCUCCUCGGUGGGCACUAUCAGAUCUCUCAACCAGUUUUGGCAUCUAAGGGAAAUGGAUGCCAGCCUAGGACCAUCGUCGCGUGUGACCUGCAUUUUAGUGCUUGAAAGGAGCAAUAGUAUAUUUUUGAAAACUGGGUGCGGAAGGAGAAAGAUGUCACUGAAGAGCGGACUGUGUGCGCACCAGCCCCUGGGAAGGCUCAGGAACCCUCCGGCCCGGGCGUGGGUGACCUUACUAACCAUCAUCUGCAAACUUCAAGGAUCUUCCCUCAAAGCCAUUUGAUCAGGCUUCUGCACAGAGCUGCUGUCUUAACACGGGAAGGAGCGCUGCACCCGAAGGCAGGCUGUCCUAGCACCUAGAACCAACUCUACUCUUCUCUCUAUUGGAGAAGCUAUCAAAAUUCUAAGGAGCCAUGAGGAACAG